rnacentral:rRNA from 1 species
UACAGAGGGUGCGAGCGUUGUCCGGAAUCACUGGGCGUAAAGGGCGCGUAGGCGGCUUGAUAAGCGUGCGGUGAAAGCCCGGGGCUCAACCCCGGGUCGGCCGUGCGAACUGUCGAGCUGGAGCACUGUAGAGUCAGGUGGAAUUCCGGGUGUAGCGGUGGAAUGCGUAGAGAUCCGGAAGAACACCGGUGGCGGAGGCGGCCUGCUGGGCAGUGGCUGACGCUGAGGCGCGACAGCGUGGGGAGCAAACAGG